UGGAACACGGGCCUCGACUGUUUACCAAAAACAUAGCCCUCGGCCAAUAUGAAAAUAGAUGUAUAGAGGGUGAUGCCUGCCCAAUGGUUGUAUCUAAAAGCGGUUGAUAAAAGUCGACCUCGUAAGGACAAUUGAAUGGCCGCGGUAACACUGACCGUGAUAAUGUAGCGUAAUCAAUAGCCAAUUAAUUGUUGGCCAGUAUGAAUGGCGCCACGAAGGCCCCACUGUCUUAAGGAAAUUCCCAGUGAAAUUGAAUUCGUAGUGAAGAUGCUACGUCCAAUUUGUUAGACGAAAAGACCCCGUUGAGCUUUACUGGGGCACUUACACGGCCCCGGCCUUCCCGUGUUCGGGAACCGGCCGAAUUUAAAUGGGUGGUUUAGACUAUGUGGCAGCCCCCCGCCGGGGCAGAUGAAACCCCACUCCCCCAUGUCAAAGGGGCUAACCCUCCCCUUGGGGGGGACAGUGUAAGUAGGACAGUUUGGUUGGGGCGACCGCCUUUUAAAGAGUAACGAAGGUGCGCUUAAGGUGCGCAAUUAAUGACUGAAGCCUGACUGCGAGGGGGACACCCCGAGCAGACACCCCUAAGCCCGCCCGAAGGGCGGCGGUGGGGUGGGCCAUAGUGACCCGUUAAUUUAGAGUGGAAUAGUUAACGAUCAACGAAUAAAAG
rnacentral:rRNA from 1 species